rnacentral:rRNA from 1 species
UACGAAGGGUGCAAGCGUUACUCGGAAUUACUGGGCGUAAAGGGUGCGUAGGUGGUCGUUUAAGUCCGUUGUGAAAUCCCUGGGCUCAACUCGGGAAUGGCAGUGGAUACUGGACGGCUAGAAUGCGGUAGAGGGUAGUGGAAUUCCCGGUGUAGCAGUGAAAUGCGUAGAGAUCGGGGAGGAACACCAGUGGCGAAGGCGGCUACCUGGACCAGCAUUGACACUCAAGCACGAAAGCGUGGGGAGCAAACAGG